UUGGAGGGCAAGUCUGGUGCCAGUAGCCGCGGUAAUUCCAGCUCCAAUAGCGUAUAUUGAAGUUGUUGCAGUUAAAAAGCUCGUAGUUGAAUUUUGGACCUGAUCAGGUGGUCUUGCCGCAAGGUAAGCACUGCUUUGGUCGGGUCUUUCCUUCUGGGGAACCAACGUGCGCUUAGUUGAGUGCGUUGGGGAUCCAGGACUUUUACUUUGAAAAAAUUAGAGUGUUUAAAGCAGGC
rnacentral:rRNA from 1 species